GGGAAUGUAGCUUAGUGGCGUAAGUGCCUGCCUUGCAAGCAGGUAUUCUUGAGUUCAAUCCUUGGUACCG
rnacentral:tRNA from 1 species